GCCUCGGAAGCUCAGUGGUUAGAGCACCUGCCAUGAGAUUGGGGCACAUGUCGUGGGUUCGAAUCCCGCGCGGGACA